rnacentral:tRNA from 1 species
GCUCGGAUGGCGAAAUAGGCAGACGCGCUAGACUUAGGAUCUAGUGCCGCGAGGCGUGUGGGUUCGAAUCCCUCUCCGAGUA